UGCCCAGCAACUCCUAUCCCUACCUUCUCGUGGUACUGGCCGGGGUACAAAUAGCCUUGGGGAAGAUCGGGUAACCAACCCCCGGUGGGAACUUUGGUCGUAUGCUGACAGGAAAGG
rnacentral:ribozyme from 1 species